rnacentral:rRNA from 1 species
GACGAACGCUGGCGGCGUGCUUAACACAUGCAAGUCGAACGGAAAGGCCCUGCUUUUGUGGGGUGCUCGAGUGGCGAACGGGUGAGUAACACGUGAGUAACCUGCCCUUGACUUUGGGAUAACUUCAGGAAACUGGGGCUAAUACCGGAUAGGAGCUCCUGCUGCAUGGUGGGGGUUGGAAAGUUUCGGCGGUUGGGGAUGGACUCGCGGCUUAUCAGCUUGUUGGUGGGGUAGUGGCUUACCAAGGCUUUGACGGGUAGCCGGCCUGAGAGGGUGACCGGGCACAAGGGGACUGAGGUACGGCCCAGUAGCCUACGGGAGGCAGCGGGGGGGAAUAUUGCACAAUGGGCGGGAGCCUGAGGCAACAACGCCGCGUGCGGGAAGACGGCCUUCGGGUUGUAAACCGCUUUCGCCUGUGACGAAGCGUGAGUGACGGUAAUGGGUAAAGAAGCACCGGCUAACUACGUG